rnacentral:rRNA from 1 species
UUUGGAAACUGUGGGACUUGAGUGCAGAAGGGGAGAGUGGAAUUCCAUGUGUAGCGGUGAAAUGCGUAGAUAUAUGGAGGAACACCAGUGGCGAAAGCGGCUCUCUGGUCUGUCACUGACGCUGAGGCUCGAAAGCGUGGGUAGCGAACAGGAUUAGAUACCCUGGUAGUCCACGCCGUAAACGAUGAGUGCUAGGUGUUAGGCCCGUUUCCGCCGCUUAGUGCCGGAGCUAACGCAAUAAGCACUCCGCCUGGGGAGUACGGACCGCAAGAUUGAAACUCAAAGGAAUUGACGGGGGCCCGCACAAGCGGUGGAGCAUGUGGUUUAAUUCGAAGCAACGCGAAGAACCUUACCAGGUCUUGACAUCCCCAUGCUAUUCUUAAAAAUAGGAAUUUACUUCGGUACAUCAGAGACAGGUGGUGCAUGGUUGUCGUCAGCUCGUGUCGUGAGAUGUUGGGUUAAGUCCCGCAACGAGCGCAACCCUUAUUGUUAGUUGCCAUCAUUAAGUUGGGCACUCUAACGAGACUGCCGGUAAUAAACCGGAGGAAGGUGGGGAUGACGUCAAAUCAUCAUGCCCCUUAUGACCUGGGCUACACACGUGCUACAAUGGUCGGUACAACGAGUUGCGAGCCGGUGACGGCAAGCUAAUCUCUGAAAGCCGAUCUCAGUUCGGAUUGGAUGCUGCAACUCACCGCCAUGAAGUCGGAAUCGCUAGUAAUCGCGGAUCAGCACGCCGCGGUGAAUACUUUCCCGGGCCUUGUACACACCGCCCGUCACACCACGAGAGUUUGUAACACCCAAAGUCGGUGAGGUAACCUUUUAGGGGCCACCCGCCUAAGGUGGGAUGGAUGAUUGGGGUGAA